GUGCUCGCUUCGGCAGCACAUAUACUAAAAUUGGAACGAUACAGAGAAGAUUAGCAUGGCCCCUGCGCAAGAAGGUUCGUUGAAACAGAUCUGAAAGAAAGGAAUUAUUU